rnacentral:rRNA from 1 species
GAUGAACGCUGGCGGCGUGCCCAAUACAUGCAAGUCGAGCGAACAGACGAGGAGCUUGCUCCUCUGACGUUAGCGGCGGACGGGUGAGUAACACGUGGAUAACCUACCUAUAAGACUGGGAUAACUUCGGGAAACCGGAGCUAAUACCGGAUAAUAUAUUGAACCGCAUGGUUCAAUAGUGAAAGACGGUUUUGCUGUCACUUAUAGAUGGAUCCGCGCCGCAUUAGCUAGUUGGUAAGGUAACGGCUUACCAAGGCAACGAUGCGUAGCCGACCUGAGAGGGUGAUCGGCCACACUGGAACUGAGACACGGUCCAGACUCCUACGGGAGGCAGCAGUAGGGAAUCUUCCGCAAUGGGCGAAAGCCUGACGGAGCAACGCCGCGUGAGUGAUGAAGGUCUUCGGAUUGUAAAACUCUGUUAUUAGGGAAGAACAAAUGUGUAAGUAACUAUGCACGUCUUGACGGUACCUAAUCAGAAAGCCACGGCUAACUACGUG